rnacentral:rRNA from 1 species
UGGGGAAUCUUAGACAAUGGGGGGAACCCUGAUCUAGCCAUGCCGCGUGAGCGAUGAAGGCCUUAGGGUUGUAAAGCUCUUUCAGUGGGGAAGAUAAUGACGGUACCCACAGAAGAAGCCCCGGCUAACUCCGUGCCAGCAGCCGCGGUAAUACGGAGGGGGCUAGCGUUGUUCGGAAUUACUGGGCGUAAAGCGCACGUAGGCGGAUUGGAAAGUCAGAGGUGAAAUCCCAGGGCUCAACCCUGGAACUGCCUUUGAAACUCCCGGUCUUGAGGUCGAGAGAGGUGAGUGGAAUUCCGAGUGUAGAGGUGAAAUUCGUAGAUAUUCGGAGGAACACCAGUGGCGAAGGCGGCUCACUGGCUCGAUACUGACGCUGAGGUGCGAAAGCGUGGGGAGCAAACAGG